AGCUCAGAACUGUCUACAGAGAGUGGCUCUCCAGGGUUUCAGAUGGGGUCUUUCCCAGCCCUACCUGAAGACACCAGGGAUUGAAUCCAGGACCUUCUACAUGCAAAGCAGGUGGAAGAACUACAUCCGCACUUCAUUCUGGAUCAUCCACUCCUUCUCCUUGUGGAAGGGAUACAGUUGUAGCUGAGUUCAAACAGGGUCUCCAUUUUUCAAACCUUCCCUGAUCUUCAGCUUGGAAGAGAGGGAAGAACCAUGGGUGCCAGAUCCACGAAGUCUGGAUGAAAAGAAAACUUUGGCAGACCCCGACUCAGGUGGCUUGAGAAAACGGUACAUAUGCCUAGAAUGUGAGAUGAGCUUUCUCAGCAAAGCUGGACUUGAGAGACACCAACGGGUCCAUGCGGGAGAGAAGCCCUUUGAGUGCUGCAACUGUGGGAAAAGCUUUUACGACAGCGGCAGCCUGACAAGACACCAGAGGACCCACAAAGAGGAGAAACCUUAUCACUGUCUGGAGUGUGGGAAACGGCUGAAUCUCAAGUCGAACCUUGCGAGGCACCAGAUACUCCGCAAAGAAGCCAAACCCUUCCACUGUGUUGACUGUGGGAAGCAAUUCAGCAGGAAAGGGCGGUUCCUGAAGCAUGCCAGCGAGAAGCCCUAACAGUGCUUGGUGUGCGGCAUUUUGUAUGUGUUGCAAAACCCUGCUUCCCUUAGUGCAGGAUUUUAAGAGUGACAAGAACACACAGCUCUGUCCGUAACUGGACUGUGCAAUUACUGUGGGAGAAAAGCUGGUCUUGCGGUAGUGAGCAUGAGUAGAGCAUGAGUUUGCUAAGUAGAGUAUGCCUUCAGUUAAUAAAAGUGAGCACUGAAAGAUAUUCCCCUUAUUAGAUGUGACCAUAACUCAAUGCAAAAGCAUCUGCAUGAUUGCAUGCAGGAGGUCCCAGAUACACUCCCUGGCAUUCAACAACUCCCCUGAAAGGGGGUAAGUUUUUUAAAAAAAAAUUUUUUUUAAAGGAAGUCCAUAAACUCCCCAAACAGUCGUGGCAGGGGUGGUGGUGGUGUUGGACCGAACAGGGGAUGGUUUGAUUCGACCCCGAACCUGUUUGCACAUCCCUAGUCCUGAUGUGGUAUUUAAAUAGAGUUUGAGAGUGCAUGUAGAAGGGCAAUUCAGAUUAACACCCCUCUCAUGUGCUUAAAGGAUGCACCAACAGUAUGUCAAGACAUCUUGCAGUGACAUCCAGAUGGGCAUGCUCUCGGCAUGACCCUGUCCUGUUCACAUGCACUGGCUGGUGUUCAUCUGAAUUGGCCCAGUGAUAGGAUUAAUUAGACAAGAUACUUCUCAUGACUUCUGAACAGUUAUUUUAGUUUAAAGAUGGUUUGAGUUGUGCACAUUCCUUGUUGAUCAUUAUCUGUAUUUAUUCAUCAUUAUUCUUGGAGUUGUUUCCUGCAAACUCACGUAUAUGAUUCCCCCCACCCCCAGUAUGCAAUACUGAAAGUUUUUCUCUGUAUUUCAAUACAGAAUAUAAGCUGGUGCCAGAAAUAUGGAAAGUGUAUGUUGUCUCCCCUGCAAUAUAACCCACUGAAUAAA